rnacentral:rRNA from 1 species
AACGAACGCUGGCGGCAUGCCUAACACAUGCAAGUCGAACGAAGUCUUCGGACUUAGUGGCGCACGGGUGCGUAGCGCGUGGGAAUCUGCCCUUGGGUGCGGAAUAACUUCUCGAAAGGGAUGCUAAUACCGCAUAAUGUCGUAAGACCAAAGAUUUAUCGCCCAAGGAUGAGCCCGCGUAAGAUUAGCUAGUUGGUGGGGUAAAAGCCUACCAAGGCGACGAUCUUUAGCUGGUCUGAGAGGAUGAUCAGCCACACUGGGACUGAGACACGGCCCAGACUCCUACGGGAGGCAGCAGUGGGGAAUAUUGGACAAUGGCGAAAGCCUGAUCCAGCAAUGCCGCGUGAGUGAUGAAGGGCCCUAGGGUUGUAAAGCUCUUUUACCAGGGAUGAUAAUGACAGUACCU